rnacentral:sRNA from 1 species
AGAAGAAAAACAAAAU